AAAAUCCGUCGCCUUUAGAAAUCGUGAGGGAUCAAGUCCCUCUAUCCCCA
rnacentral:tRNA from 1 species